rnacentral:siRNA from 1 species
CGACUUGAGUUUCCCUUA